rnacentral:lncRNA from 1 species
UGCUGAAGGGUUUCCAUGUUUUCUGGUCUGGCAAAUCACUUAUCACAAAUCAGUCCAUAGCUUUCUAUAUAUACGUUCUUUUUUCCCUCAUCUUAUUUCUUUUCCCUUGCUUUCUUUGCCCUUAUCAGUUUAAGAAGGUUUUGUUUACUCACUGAAAUUUUAAUAUAUUCCUGGAGUAAACCAUAUAUGUUUUAGUCUCCUGUGUUUAACCAGUGUUUUGCAUACUCUUUUAAAAGUCUAGCUAAUAAUUCUACAUACCAUUAUUAACCUCGUUUUAUAGAUGACCAAAACAAGGAUGGAAAAAGAUAAAUAACUUGCCCAAAGUUGUACAAAUAGUGAGUGGUAAUUCCACUUACUAAUACAAAUCAUGUUCUUUUCUUUUCAGCACACUGCCUUUUACUGCAAGACACAGUUCCUGUUUUAAGGAGUUUAUAGUUUCUGUGGGGAGAUACGACAAGUGCAUGGAUAUUAGAUAGAAUGCAUUAAAUGUCAGGAACAAGGAAAAUGGCCUAAUGUGCAAUGGGAACUCAGAGCUGCCUUCUUUCAGGUCAGCUGCCUCUGAUGCCCAACAGGCCAGCAACAGGAUAGGAUUUGGAGAAACCAUGAGAGCCCCAGUUUCCUGAGCCUCAUUUGCGGUUGUGGCA